AUUGAACGCUGGCGGCAUGCUUUACACAUGCAAGUCGAACGGUAACAGGCCUUCGGGUGCUGACGAGUGGCGAACGGGUGAGUAAUGCAUCGGAACGUACCCAGAGGUGGGGGGUCACGCAGCGAAAGCUGUGCUAAUACCGCAUGUGAUCUGAGGAUGAAAGCGGGGGACCGAGCAGCAAUGUUUGGCCUCGCGCCUUUGGAGCGGCCGAUGUCGGAUUAGCUAGUUGGUGGGGUAAAGGCCUACCAAGGCGACGAUCCGUAGCUGGUCUGAGAGGACGACCAGCCACACUGGGACUGAGACACGGCCCAGACUCCUACGGGAGGCAGCAGUGGGGAAUUUUGGACAAUGGGCGCAAGCCUGAUCCAGCAAUGCCGCGUGCGGGAAGAAGGCCUUCGGGUUGUAAACCGCUUUUGGCAGGAACGAAACGGUGUCCGCUAAUACCGGGCGAUAAUGACGGUACCUGCAGAAUAAGCACCGGCUAACUACGUG
rnacentral:rRNA from 1 species